rnacentral:rRNA from 1 species
GACGAACGCUGGCGGCGUGCCUAAUACAUGCAAGUAGAACGCUGAAGAGAGGAGCUUGCUCUUCUUGGAUGAGUUGCGAACGGGUGAGUAACGCGUAGGUAACCUGCCUUGUAGCGGGGGAUAACUAUUGGAAACGAUAGCUAAUACCGCAUAACAAUGGAUGACACAUGUCAUUUAUUUGAAAGGGGCAAUUGCUCCACUACAAGAUGGACCUGCGUUGUAUUAGCUAGUAGGUGAGGUAAUGGCUCACCUAGGCGACGAUACAUAGCCGACCUGAGAGGGUGAUCGGCCACACUGGGACUGAGACACGGCCCAGACUCCUACGGGAGGCAGCAGUAGGGAAUCUUCGGCAAUGGGGGCAACCCUGACCGAGCAACGCCGCGUGAGUGAAGAAGGUUUUCGGAUCGUAAAGCUCUGAUGUAAGUCAAGAACGGGUGUGAGAGUGGAAAGUUCACACUGUGACGGUAGCUUACCAGAAAGGGACGGCUAACUACGUG